AUGUAAAUUCUUAUAGCAUAGCGUUAAUUCACUCGAUCCCAUUAGAGCUUCAUAGUUAAGCACACUCAGGCUAGAGUAGCACUAGGAUGGGUGACUGCCCAGGAAGUCCUAGUAUUUUACAUG
rnacentral:rRNA from 1 species